rnacentral:rRNA from 1 species
GAUGAACGCUGGCGGCGUGCCUAACACAUGCAAGUCGAGCGAACAGACGAGGAGCUUGCUCCUCUGACGUUAGCGGCGGACGGGUGAGUAACACGUGGAUAACCUACCUAUAAGACUGGGAUCCCUUCAGGAACCCUGAGAUAGUACCGGAUAAUAUAUUGAACCGCAGGGUUCAAUAGUGAAAGACGGUUUUGCUGUCACUUAUACAUGGAUCCUAGCCGCAUUAGCUAGUUGGUAAGGUAAGGCUUACCAAGGCAACGAUUCGUAGCCGACCGGAGAGGUGGAUAGGCCACACGGGAACGGAGCACGGGUCCAGACUCCUACGGGAGGCAGCGUGAGGGAAACUGCCGCAAUGGGCGAAAGCCUGACGAAGCAACGCGGCGGGAUGGAGGAGGGUCUCCGGAUCUAAAACCUCUGUUAUUAGGGAAGAACAAAUGUGUAAGUAACCAUGCACUUCUUGACGGUACCUAAGCAGAAGGCCACGGCUAACUACGUG